rnacentral:rRNA from 1 species
CCUACGGGGGGUAGCAGUGAGGAAUAUUGGUCAAUGGACGGAAGUCUGAACCAGCCAUGCCGCGUGAAGGUCAGUGCCCUAUGGGCGUUAAACUUCUUUUGUGCGGGAGCAAUAAUGGUCACGUGUGGCCAGACGAGAGUACCGUACGAAUAAGCAUCGGCUAACUCCGUGCCAGCAGCCGCGGUAAGACGGUGGAUGCAAGCGUUAUCCGGAUGUAUUGGGUUUAAAGGGUGCGUAGGCUGUGAGGUAAGUCAGCGGUGAAAUGCCCCCGCUCAACGGGGUGAAGUGCCAUUGAUACUGCCUUGCGGGAAUGCGGAUGCCGUGGGAGGAAUGUGUGGUGUAGCGGUGAAAUGCAUAGAUAUCACACAGAACACCGAUUGCGAAGGCAUCUCACGAAUCCGCGAUUGACGCUGAUGCACGAAAGCGUGGGUAUCAAACAGGAUUAGAUACCCUGGUAGUC